CAGAGAUUUUCUUUUGCCUCUCUUUGGCAACGGAUUUCGCACCGUCCGUCAGCGACGAACCGAGCCCUCGAAGCUGUUUGUUCGAGGGCAUCUUGCCGUUCGAAAUAGCUGUCCAUAUUGAAUAAACUUCUAAUCCUUUUCCAGUUUCCUCAUGCACAACAUGCUUGUCAGUGGGAUAAGCAACCGCCAUACUUGCUCAACGACUAAUGCGAAAAAGAUUAGCAGCAAUUAAUCACUUAAUGAUAGUAACAAGCGAGACACGUCAGCUAAUAUCAGAUGGUUACAAGUGUAAAAGUGAUAAAUAAACAAGACUGAAGAUAUCCUUUCCUCUUCAGCACUCCAAAAUCAGGAUUUUACAGUAAAAACCUCUUGUUAUGGGAUAGACAGACACACAAGUGCGAUCAAUCAAACAAAUAAUCAAAUGUCGCUUUGAUGGAAUCCUCCUUAAGUAAAGAGAUAUAUGGUUUCGCUUUAUUUUCCUAAAAUUCCUUGUCGCAACUUUAUUUCAAUUCUGUACAAAGAUUAUAACUUUAUAGGACCAUGGCGACAUUAAAUACAUUUAUUUAAAGCCUUUACGUUAUGACUAUCUCAGCCAUACUCGAAUUAGGCUGUGGCGUCAUGAAAACUUGCAUAAUCAUCUUUACUUACGAAGUAUUAGUGUCAAUCCACUCUCCUGUUCAUAAAAGAAUGGCUCAUAUGAGAAUGGCUACUCUAGUAAUGACAGGUUCAAGAAUACGUGCAUUCUCGUCAUUAAGACACUAUAUUGACGUUCAACCGUUUCAUGUCCAAAACUAUAGUGUAGUUUGAAGAAGUAAACUACGUCAUGCGCUAAAUAUGUGAUGUGGUUAUAUAUUGCAGUAAGUAUCGCUAUUUACUGGCUUGCUACAUAUUGUUCUUCAUUAUUCGGUAAACAGUGGAAGAAGAAGGGCUGGGCUGGCUUACUUGUUCUUGUUAGUUGAUCGAUUGGUCGCAAUGUUCAAUCGAUAUAUGGAAGGCGUUUCUUUCACUUCUUUUUCUCUUUUUUGGCUUUCUUAUUGUUCGGAGAAUUUCCGUAUCUUAGAGUGUUUCAGUAUAAUCAAUCAUCUAUCUAAUCUGGUGUGUGCUGCUUUAGCUUCAGCUUAUAGGCAUCAGCAAAAAACAACAUCACCUUCAAAGUAGGCGCCCGAAAUCAUUGUUCAUAUUUUUGUCCUAUACUUUUGUACUAACUGAUAAAAAUUAUUUUAUAGAUAUUAAAAGCAAAUCUUAUAUAUUUGUCACCUCCAAACAAUUUUUUUAUUGAUAUUCUCCAUUCAUGAAACAUAAAUUCAUUCUUAUAAUAAAACAAAAUAAAUUUUAAGAAAAUGAAAAAAAUAUAUAUUACGAGCUUAGUCUAAAUACAUUCUAAUAUACAUCUUUAAAAUAAAUUUUCUAAUAUUAUAUCUUAA